UGAACUUGCGGUAAAAAUCAGAUCCUAAUAUGAUGAUAUGUAUAAUGUAAAUCUUUUGUUUAAAAAAUCGCUAGUUAUUUUUGUCAUGGGUUUAGGAACCGUAAAGUUGGAGCAAGUUGAUAUGAAAUGUUCUUUGGUAGAAUUUCAGUACCAAUGCAUUAUCUUGAAAACUAAUUACUCUAUAGUUUUAGUUGAGCAAAAUCAAAAAAGUUGUGAAAAAGACUGUUCAGCAUUAAAUGAAGGUU
rnacentral:lncRNA from 1 species